rnacentral:rRNA from 1 species
GAUGAACGCUGGCGGCGUGCCUAAUACAUGCAAGUCGAGCGAAUGGAUUGAGAGCUUGCUCUUAUGAAGUUAGCGGCGGACGGGUGAGUAACACGUGGGUAACCUGCCCAUAAGACUGGGAUAACUCCGGGAAACCGGGGCUAAUACCGGAUAACAUUUUGAACCGCAUGGUUCGAAAUUGAAAGGCGGCUUCGGCUGUCACUUAUGGAUGGACCCGCGUCGCAUUGGCUAGUUGGUGAGGUAACGGCUCACCAAGGCAACGAUGCGUAGCCGACCUGAGAGGGUGAUCGGCCACACUGGGACUGAGACACGGCCCAGACUCCUACGGGAGGCAGCAGUAGGGAAUCUUCCGCAAUGGACGAAAGUCUGACGGAGCAACGCCGCGUGAGUGAUGAAGGCUUUCGGGUCGUAAAACUCUGUUGUUGGGGAAGAACAAGUGCUAGUUGAAUAAGCUGGCACCUUGACGGUACCUAACCAGAAAGCCACGGCUAACUACGUGCCAGCCGCCGCAGUAA